UACAGAGGAUGCAAGCGUUAUCCGGAAUUAUUGGGCGUAAAGCGUCUGUAGGUGGCUUUUUAAGUCCGCUGUCAAAUCCCAGGGCUCAACUCUGGACAGGCGGUGGAAACUACCAAGCUGGAGUACGAUAGGGGCAGAGGGAAUUUCCGGUGGAGCGGUGAAAUGCGUAGAGAUCGGAAAGAACACCAACGGCGAAAGCACUCUGCUGGGCCGACACUGACACUGAGGAGCGAAAGCUAGGGGAGCGAAUGGG
rnacentral:rRNA from 1 species